rnacentral:rRNA from 1 species
UGGGUAAUAUUGCACAAUGGGGGAAACCCUGAUGCAGCGACGCCGCGUGAACGAAGAAGGUAUUCGUAUCGUAAAGUUCUGUCCUAUGGGAAGAUAAUGACAGUACCAUAGAAGAAAGCUCCGGCUAAAUACGUGCCAGCAGCCGCGGUAAUACGUAUGGAGCGAGCGUUGUCCGGAAUUAUUGGGCGUAAAGGGUACGCAGGCGGUUUAAUAAGUCGAAUGUUAAAGAUCGGGGCUCAACCCCGCAAAGCAUUGGAAACUGAUAAACUUGAGUAGUGGAGAGGAAAGUGGAAUUCCUAGUGUAGUAGUGAAAUACGUAGAUAUUAGGAGGAAUACCAGUAGCGAAGGCGACUUUCUGGACACAAACUGACGCUGAGGUACGAAAGCGUGGGGAGCAAACAGG